CCAUGAUCCUAUGCUGCCAAGAAAAGCCUCUAGCGAGCUCUUCGCGGCCCGUACCCCAAACCGACACAGGUGGUCAGGUAGAGAAUACCAAGGCGAUCGAGCAAACUAUGGUUAAGGAACUCGGCAAAAUACCUCCGUAACUUCGGGAGAAGGAGGGCCGGUUUUGGUGAUGAGAUUUACUCUCUGAGCUGAGGCCGGUCGCAGAGACCAGCGAGAAGCGACUGUUUACUAAAAACACAGGUCCGUGCGAAGUUGCAAAACGAUGUAUACGGACUGACGCCUGCCCGGUGCUGGAACGUUAAGGGGACGGGUUAGCACUUCGGUGCGAAGCUCAGAACUUAAGCGCCAGUAAACGGCGGUGGUAACUAUAACCAUCCUAAGGUAGCGAAAUUCCUUGUCGGGUAAGUUCCGACCUGCACGAAUGGCGUAACGACUUCUCGACUGUCUCAACCAUAGGCUCGGCGAAAUUGCACUACGAGUAAAGAUGCUCGUUACGCGCGGCAGGACGGAAAGACCCCGGGACCUUUACUAUAGUUUGAUAUUGGUGUUCGGUUCGGCUUGUGUAGGAUAGGUGGGAGACUUUGAAGCGGGCACGCCAGUGUUCGUGGAGUCAACGUUGAAAUACCACUCUGGUCGAAUUGGAUGUCUAACCUCGGUCCGUAAUCCGGAUCAGGGACAGUGUCUGAUGGGUAGUUUAACUGGGGCGGUUGCCUCCCAAAAAGUAACGGAGGCGCCCAAAGGUUCCCUCAGCCUGGUUGGCAAUCAGGUGUCGAGUGCAAGUGCACAAGGGAGCUUGACUGUGAGACAGACAUGUCGAGCAGGAGCGAAAGCUGGGACUAGUGAUCCGGCACCGGCAAGUGGAAGCGGUGUCGCUCAACGGAUAAAAGGUACCCCGGGGAUAACAGGCUGAUCUUCCCCAAGAGUCCAUAUCGACGGGAUGGUUUGGCACCUCGAUGUCGGCUCGUCGCAUCCUGGGGCUGGAGUCGGUCCCAAGGGUUGGGCGUUCGCCCAUUAAAGCGGUACGCGAGCUGGGUUUAGAACGUCGUGAGACAGUUCGGUCCCUAUCCGCCGCGCGCGCAGGAGAUUUGAGAAGGGCUGUCCUUAGUACGAGAGGACCGGGACGGACGAACCUCUGGUGUGCCAGUUGUUCCACCAGGAGCACUGCUGGUUGGCUACGUUCGGAAGGGAUAACCGCUGAAAGCAUCUAAGCGGGAAGCCUGCUUCAAGAUUAGAUCUCCCAUCCUUUAUGGAGUAAGGCCCCCGGCUAGACCACCGGGUUGAUAGGCCGGAAGUGGAAGCGUGGUAACACGUGGAGCUGACCGGUACUAAUAGGCCGAGGACUUUCUACC
rnacentral:rRNA from 1 species